GCCCAAAACCACUUCAAACACUGCCAGCUCAAAUCCAAAAGCCACAAGGAUGUCCUUCUACCAAGAGAAUUCCAUCUACAACAAAAUACAAGAAGAGAAAGAGGAAUCAAAGACCACAAAGACCAAGUCAAAAUAGGGAUUCCAAACCCUAAUUGAACUUGGACUCUCCAGCUAUAAGAAGGCAGCCUCCAAACCAGCAAGAGCAUCUUCUUCCACCUUUGGAAAUCUACAGAAUUCAGCAGGAGAAUUGCA
rnacentral:lncRNA from 1 species